GAUUUCAACUGAAAAAGUCAUCAAUAACAAAGUUCUAUAACUCAUCAAUAUAUAUAACUUCUAUUUUGGUCAUUUCUUCAUCUCACAAAGUGAUUUGUAAAAUUGUUCACAAAAUGUACAUAUCUCUAAUAUAGUUUUAUAAACUGUAAAUUUUGUGAAAAUGUUACUAUCACUUUGUUGGAUGAAGAAAUGACCAAAAUAGAAGUUAUAAAUCUUGAUGAGUUAUACAACUUUGUUGUUGAUGACUUUUUCAGCUGAAAUC
rnacentral:pre_miRNA from 1 species